rnacentral:rRNA from 1 species
GCGCAGCAGGCGCGAAACCUCCGCAAUGCUCGAAAGAGCGACGGGGGGACUCCAAGUGCCUACGCUCAGCGUAGGCUGUUCCCGAGCCUAAAAAGCUCGGGGAGUAAGGGCUGGGUAAGACGGGUGCCAGCCGCCGCGGUAAUACCCGCAGCCCGAGUGGUGGCCGCUAUUAUUGGGCCUAAAGCGUCCGUAGCCGGCUCGGUAAAUGCCUGGGUAAAUCGUCUGGCCCAACCAGACGAAUUCCGGGUAGACUGCCGGGCUAGGGACCGGAGGAGGGAGAGGGUACUCCGAGGGGUAGGGGUGAAAUCAGCAAGGUGAGUUGCUGAUGUAACUUGCCUUGCAAGUCACAAUCCUGUAAUCCCUGGAGGACCACCGGUGGCGAAGGCGCUCUCCUAGGACGGUCCGACGGUAGGGGGACGAAAGGCCAGGGGAGCAAAACCGGAUUAGAUACCCGUGU